AAAAUGGCACGGGCGUUAUUCAUUGAGAAUCCGAAGUCAUUUUGUUUUGUCAGAAGUUGUCCACAGAUAACAAAAACCUUGGCUUCCAACAUACACAUCCAACGUUUUAUCCAACAAAAUAAUGGCGGUGCUAGUUCGUUUUUCAUGCUUCUUUACACGGCCAAGCUGCCUCCCAUCUCCACCGUCUGAUCAUUUCUCCGACAAACCCCACGUGGCCGGGAAGUUGGUUUCUCUUCUUUCAAAGAGAAAAAGUUUGCAUCAGUUUUAGGAAAGUGCUUCCAGAGUUAUUCAUCAAAGAUUUGAUGGACACCAUGAUUUGGAAGGAAGUCAGGAUUUCAGUAAAAUGCCACACCAAGUGACAAUUUUGUGGACAAAUUAUCAGCAGAUCAGCAAGGAAAGGGCUACUGAAAUCAACGGCAAGACAU